GUUAUGGUUAGGGAGGGUUAGGGUUAGGGGUUAGGGUUUGAGGCCAAUUUAACAUGGGGUUUAAUACCCGAUUUGGAAAGUCCAGAUUCAGCUCGACUGACCCCCCUCCAAUUUGGACUUUUUGACAGAGUGUCACCAUUGAACAAGUGUAAAGUUGGACCUUCGAAUUUGGAAGUUGGACCCUGGAUUUGGAUGUUGGAAGCUGGAAGUUGGAAGCUGAAGUUGGAUGUUGGAAAUUUGUACUCCCGUACUAAAGGGCGGCAGCACUGAGUCGAAAAAAUGUACGUCUGGAUUUGGAAGUGUAAUUCGAAAAACCUCUAGGGGCAGUAGUGCUCCAUGGUAAAACUAAACAUCAGUAAUUUGGAAAUUGAAAAUGUAUUCAAACACUAAGUCCACCGACAGCAAUCGGUUCAUGUCUACGAUUUGGAAGUUGGAAGUAGGUAAAUGUCCUGAAGUUGGAAGUUGGUUAAAAAUCAAUGUAUUGUCUAAGUUUUGUCAGAGUGUCACCAUUGAAUAUAUGUCAAUUUGGAAGCUGGAAGUAGGUAAAUGUCCUGAAGUUGGAAGUUUUGUCAGAAUUUUUGUCAGUGUCACCAUUUAACAUAUGUAGAUUUGGAAGCUGGAAGUAGGUAAAUGUCCUGAAGUUGGAAGUUUUGUCAGAAUUUUUGUCAGAGUGUCACCAUUGAACAUAUGUAGAUUUGGAAGUUGGAAUUCGUCAGUGUCACCAUUGAACAUAUGUAGAUUUGGAAGUUGGAAUUUGGAAGUGUGACCAUUGAACAUGUGUGGAUUUGGAAGUUGGAAUUUGUCAGUGUCACCUUUGAACAUAUGUAGAUUUGGAAGUUGGAAUUUGGAAGUGUGACCAUUGAACAAGUGUGGAUUUGGAAGUUGGAAUUUGUCAGUGUCACCAUUGAACAUGUGUAGAUUUGGAAUCUUCCCCAUUGACAAUAAAUGUAGAGGCGGUUGUUGCACUUACUUUGUUUGGUGAAGUUGUCUGUUAGUCUAUCG
ensembl:lncRNA